CCUACGGGAGAUAGCAGUAGGGAAUUUUGCGCAAUGGGCGAAAGCCUGACGCAGCAACGCCGCGUGAUUGAUUAAGCCCUUCGGGGUGUAAAGAUCUGUCAGUGGGGACGAAACUUGACGGUACCCACAGAUGAAGAACCGGCUAACUCCGUGCCAGCAGCCGCGGUAAUCCGGAGGGUGCAAGCGUUGUCCGGAAGCAUUGGGCGUAAAGAGGUCGAAGGUGGCAUAGUAAGUCUGGUGUUAAAUGCAGAAGCUCAACUUCUGUUCGGCACUGGAUACUGGUAAGCUUGAUUGCGGUAGAGGUAGAGGGAAUUCCUGGUGUAGCGGUGAAAUGCGUAGAUAUCAAGAGGAACACCGGUGGCGUAGGCGAUUUGCUGGGCCGUAAUUGACGCUGAGGAACGAAAGCCGGGGUAGCAAAUGGGAUUAGAUACCCCAGUAGUC
rnacentral:rRNA from 1 species